GACGAACGCUGGCGGCGUGCUUAACACAUGCAAGUCGAACGGAAAGGCGCGGCGCUUGUUGGGUGCUCGAGUGGCGAACGGGUGAGUAACACGUGAGUAACCUGUCCUUGACUGUGGGAUAACUUCAGGGAACUGGGGCGAAUACCGGAGAGGAGCUCCUGCUGCAUGGUGGUGGAUGGUGAAAGUCGGCUGUGCGGGAUGGUCUCGCGGCUUAUCAGCUUGUUGGUGGGGUAGUGGCGUACCAAGGCUUUGACGGGUAGCCCGCCUGAGAGGGUGACCGGCCACCUUGGGACUGAGAUACGGCCCAGACUCCUACGGGAGGCAGCAGUGGGGAAUCUUGCACAAUGGGCGGAAGCCUGAUGCAGAAACGCCGCGUGCGGGAUGACGGCCUUCGGGUUGUAAACCGCUUUCGCAUGUGACGAAGCGUGAGUGACGGUACUGGGUCAAGAAGCAACGGCUAACUACGUG
rnacentral:rRNA from 1 species